rnacentral:misc_RNA from 1 species
GAUGAAGAACGCAGCGAAAUGCGAUAAGUAAUGUGAAUUGCAGAAUUCAGUGAAUCAUCGAAUCUUUGAACGCACCUUGCACCCUUUGGUAUUCCGAAGGGUAUGCUCGUUUGAGUGUCAUUGUACUCUCACACUUCUAAUUCCUUUCGGGAUUGGGAGCGGUGGACUUGGGUGUUGCUGCUUUAGUUGUGGCUCACCUCAAAUAAGUUAGUGCAACUCUUGGUUGGACAUAGUACGGCGUGAUAAGUGUCUUCGCCGGCGCCUCUGUAAGGAGGGUGGCCGAUCGGGAGCUCUGUGCUUCAAACCGUCUUCGGACAAUCUUUGACAACUUGAACUCAAAUCGAGUAGGACUACCCGCUGAACUUAAGCAUAUCAAUAAGCGGAGGA